CACGAACGCUGGCGGCAGGCUUAACACAUGCAAGUCGAGCGCCCCGCAAGGGGAGCGGCAGACGGGUGAGUAACGCGUGGGAAUCUACCCAUCUCUACGGAAUAACGCAUGGAAACGUGUGCUAAUACCGUAUACGUCCUUCGGGAGAAAGAUUUAUCGGAGAUGGAUGAGCCCGCGUUGGAUUAGGUAGUUGGUGGGGUAAAGGCCUACCAAGGCGACGAUCCAUAGCUGGUCUGAGAGGAUGAUCAGCCACACUGGGACUGAGACACGGCCCAGACUCCGACGGGAGGAAGCAGGGGGGAAUAUUGGACAAUGGGCGCAAGCCUGAUCCAGCCAGGCCGCGUGCGUGAUGAAGGCCCUAGGGUUGUAAAGCUCUUUCACCGGUGAAGAUAAUGACGGUAACCGGAGAAGAAGCCCCGGCUAACUUCGUGCCAGCCGCCGCCGUAACAC
rnacentral:rRNA from 1 species